CCUACGGGGAGGCAGCAGUGGGGAAUUUUGGACAAUGGGCGCAAGCCUGAUCCAGCCAUUCCGCGUGAGUGAAGAAGGCCUUCGGGUUGUAAAGCUCUUUCGCAAGGGAAGAAACGAUACUGGUAAAUAAUCAGUGUUAAUGACGGUACCUUGAUAAGAAGCACCGGCUAACUACGUGCCAGCAGCCGCGGUAAUACGUAGGGUGCGAGCGUUAAUCGGAAUUACUGGGCGUAAAGCGUGCGCAGGCUGUUUUGUAAGUCAGAUGUGAAAUCCCCGAGCUCAACUUGGGAACUGCGUUUGAAACUACAAGACUAGAAUAUGUCAGAGGGGGGUAGAAUUCCACGUGUAGCAGUGAAAUGCGUAGAGAUGUGGAGGAAUAUCAAUGGCGAAGGCAGCCCCCUGGGAUAAUAUUGACGCUCAUGCACGAAAGCGUGGGGAGCAAACAGGAUUAGAUACCCUGGUAGUCCACGCCCUAAACGAUGUCAACUAGUUGUUGGUAGAGUAAAAUCUAUGAGUAACGCAGCUUAACGCGUGAAGUUGACCGCCUGGGGAGUACGAUCGCAAGNUUAAAACNAAAGAUGACGNNGAGAGNGCGAGACGACGACGAGGGAGAGG
rnacentral:rRNA from 1 species